GGAAGUUAUAUAGGGGAAUUUAAAACAUAAACUGCACUCGGAGAAGUUUAAAUAUGACUACUUUCGGACAGGGGUUCAAUUCCCCUCGCCUCCACCA
rnacentral:tRNA from 3 species